CCUACGGGGAUGCAGCAGUGGGGAAUUUUGGACAAUGGGGGAAACCCUGAUCCAGCCAUCCCGCGUGUAUGAUGAAGGCCUUCGGGUUGUAAAGUACUUUUGGCAGAGAAGAAAAGGUAUCUCCUAAUACGAGAUACUGCUGACGGUAUCUGCAGAAUAAGCACCGGCUAACUACGUGCCAGCAGCCGCGGUAAUACGUAGGGUGCAAGCGUUAAUCGGAAUUACUGGGCGUAAAGCGUGUGUAGGCGGUUCGGAAAGAAAGAUGUGAAAUCCCAGGGCUCAACCUUGGAACUGCAUUUUUAACUGCCGAGCUAGAGUAUGUCAGAGGGGGGUAGAAUUCCACGUGUAGCAGUGAAAUGCGUAGAUAUGUGGAGGAAUACCGAUGGCGAAGGCAGCCCCCUGGGAUAAUACUGACGCUCAGACACGAAAGCGUGGGGAGCAAACAGGAUUAGAUACCCUGGUAGUCCACGCCCUAAACGAUGUCAACUAGCUGUUGGGGCCGUUAGGCCUUAGUAGCGCAGCUAACGCGUGAAGUGAUGCCUGGGGAGUACCGUCACAG
rnacentral:rRNA from 1 species